rnacentral:rRNA from 1 species
AUUGAACGCUGGCGGCAUGCUUUACACAUGCAAGUCGAACGGUAACAGGCCGCAAGUUGCUGACGAGUGGCGAACGGGUGAGUAAUGCAUCGGAACGUGCCCAGUCGUGGGGGAUAACGCAGCGAAAGCUGCGCUAAUACCGCAUACGAUCUAUGGAUGAAAGCGGGGGACCGUAAGGCCUCGCGCGAUUGGAGCGGCCGAUGUCAGAUUAGGUAGUUGGUGGGGUAAAGGCUCACCAAGCCAACGAUCUGUAGCUGGGCUGAGGGGACGACCAGCCACACGGGGACUGAGACACGGUCCAGACUCCUACGGGAGGCAGCAGUAGGGAAUUUUGGACAAUUGGCGCAAGCCUGAUCCAGCAAUGCCGCGUGCAGGAAGAAGGCCUUCGGGCUGUAAACUGCUUUUGUACGGAACGAAAAGGCUCUGGUUAAUACCCGGGGCUCAUGACGGUACCGUAAGAAUAAGCACCGGCUAACUACGUGCCAGCCGCCGCCGUAAAAC